GCUCUUUUAGCUUAAAUUUAUUAAAGCACAAUACUGAAAAUAUUUAGAUAUCAACUAGAUUUAGAGCA
rnacentral:tRNA from 1 species